rnacentral:rRNA from 1 species
GAUGAACGCUAGCUACAGGCUUAACACAUGCAAGUCGAGCGGUUUGUUGCUUUUGCACAUUCAGCGGCAGACGGGUGAGUAACACGUAUCUAACCUUCCCCUUACUUGGGCAUAGCCUCUGGAAACGGAGAUUAAUUUCCGAUGUGGUGUACAUUUCGCAUGUUUUGCGCACCAAAGAUUUAUCGGUAAGGGAUGGGGAUGCGCUCCAUUAGGUUGUAGGUAGGGUAAUGGCCUACCUAGCCUAUGAUGGAUAGGGGUUCUGAGAGGAAGGUCCCCCACAUUGGAACUGCGACACGGUCCAAACUCCUACGGGAGGCAGCAGUGAGGAAUAUUGGUCAAUGGCCGGAAGGCUGAACCAGCCAAGUAGCGUGCAGGAUGACUGCCUUAUGGGUUGUAAACUGCUUUUUUACGGGAAUAAUUAUGAUCACGUGUGAUUAUUUGCAUGUACCGUAAGAAUAAGGAUCGGCUAACUCCGUG